rnacentral:tRNA from 1 species
GCCGCCAUAGCUCAGUCGGUUAGAGCGUGGGUCUAAUAAGCCCAAGGUCGCAGGUUCGACCCCUGCUGGCAGCA